rnacentral:rRNA from 1 species
CAAAGGCUUGGUCCUGACUUUACUGUCAACUGUAGCUAGAUUUACACAUGCAAGUAUCCGCACCCCUGUGAGAAUGCCCCACAGCUCCCUGCCCGGGAGCAAGGAGCCGGUAUCAGGCACUUCCUGCCCAGAACAGCCCACGACGCCUUGCUUAGCCACACCCUCAAGGGACCUCAGCAGUGAUAAAUAUUAAGCCAUGAGUGAAAACUUGACUUAGUUAAAGCUAGAAGGGCCGGUAAAACUCGUGCCAGCCACCGCGGUUAUACGAGUGACCCAAGCUGACAGUCCCCGGCGUAAAGAGUGGUUAAGAGCCCCCACACACUAAAGCCGAACAUCUCCAAAGUUGUAUAAUACAUUCGAAGACUUGAAGCUCAACCACGAAAGUGGCUUUAAACUCUUUGAACCCACGAAAGCUAGGAAACAAACGGGGAUUAGAUACCCCCUUAUGCCUAGCCUUAAACUUAGAUAGAGCAUUAUUUAUUCUAUCCGCCAGGGUACUACGAGCACCAGCUUGAAACCCAAAGGACUUGGCGGCACUUCACACCCACCUAGAGGAGCCUGUUCUAGAACCGAUGACCCCCGUUCAACCUCACCUUUUCUUGCUUUUCCCGCCUAUAUACCACCGUCGUCAGCUCACCCUGUGAAGGGCCCCUAGUGAGCAAGGCUGGCACAGCCUAAAACGUCAGGUCGAGGUGUAGCGUAUGAGAAGGGAAGAAAUGGGCUACAAUUGCUUCAACAGUUAAUACGAAUUGAUUGCUGAAAAUGCACACAUGAAGGAGGAUUUAGAAGUAAGGAGGGAAGCAGAGCGUCCCCCUGAAAUGGUUCUGAAGCGUGCACACACCGCCCGUCACUCUCCCCAAGUUAAGAUGCCCAAAGUAAAUAAACACAAAACACCUACAAAGGGGAGGCAAGUCGUAACAUGGUAAGUGUACCGGAAGGUGCACUUGGAAAAAU